CCUUCAUGAAGCUGGAAUUGCUGUAAUGGCAGGUCAGCAUACUGCCGUGAAUACGUUCCCGGGCCUUGUACACACCGCCCGUCACACCAUGAGAGUUGGAAAUACCCGAAGCCUGUGAGCUAACUUAAAGAGGCAGCAGUCGAAGGUAGAGCCAAUGGUUGGGGUGAAGUCGUAACAAGGUAUC
rnacentral:rRNA from 1 species